GACGUAGGGCGCGAGCGUUGUCCGGAUUUAUUGGGCGUAAAGAGCUCGUAGGCGGUUCGUCGCGUCGGCUGUGAAAACCCGAGGCUCAACCUCGGGCCUGCAGUCGAUACGGGCGGACUGGAGUUCGGCAGGGGAGACUGGAAUUCCUGGUGUAGCGGUGAAAUGCGCAGAUAUCAGGAGGAACACCGGUGGCGAAGGCGGGUCUCUGGGCCGUAACUGACGCUGAGGAGCGAAAGCAUGGGGAGCGAACAGG
rnacentral:rRNA from 1 species